rnacentral:rRNA from 1 species
UACGGAGGGUGCAAGCGUUGCUCGGAAUCAUUGGGCGUAAAGCGCACGUAGGCGGUCUGUUAAGUCGGAUGUGAAAGCCCUCGGCUCAACCGAGGAAGUGCAUACGAAACUGGCGGACUUGAAUAUGGAAGAGGGUCGCGGAAUUCCCGGUGUAGAGGUGAAAUUCGUAGAUAUCGGGAGGAACACCAGUGGCGAAGGCGGCGACCUGGGCCAAUAUUGACGCUGAGGUGCGAAAGCGUGGGGAGCAAACAGG